AUCAUGUGUAAAGGUGGAACUGUCUCUCAAAUAAAGAGCAGUGUUUCGAAGGAACUGCUAGAAAGUAAUGAAUCCCUCUUUCUUGUCAUUAUUAUGUUUAGUUGUCUAGCCUACCUAUAUGGUGUGCUUUCAUAUAGGAACAUAAGUGAUACAUCAAGGUUGUCAUUCUGUGUAGCAUGUUUCAUUCUAUUAACUCCAUAUAACAAUUGUAAAGUAGUACAAUCUACAAAAUUUUCAUUCUUGUAAUGAUCUAGAAUAUGUCGUAAAAUCAAUCAUUAUAACAUUGAUGCUAGCAUGGUCAAGGAUUUAUUUUGAUUGAGUAAGAAAUUUGAUUUGUUUUUAUUUUAAAAUUUGUAUAAGCUGUUACAAGAUGCUUUGUUGAUGUUCAAGCUCUACAAAAUCAUGACAUCCCAAGGUUUCCGAUGAAGGCAUUUCAUGGAUGGUAUCUGUAGUUGAAGACUUUCGAAUUGCACAUAUAAAGCUAGAGGUGCUAUUGGAAUCUUUUUACCGCUUGUAAUUCUCACAAAUCCUCUCUUCAAAGUAAGUGUUGGUUAUAGAAUUUAAUUAAUUUUUGCAAAGAGUUUGGGCUGUAAUCUACAAUCAGGAAAGUGUACUGUUAGACUUAUUGGAGUCUUACAUAAACUUGUAGGCUCAGUUUAAAUUUUUGACUUUUCAAAUAAUAAUUGUUAUGACAAUGAGAAUCUUAAGUUUUGCUUUAUGAGACAUUAAAGGUUUCCUCCAAUGCCAAGCUUACUCUUUUGAGUCCUUUGGAUGCUAAGUGUGAAAAGAAUGCAUAUGAGGGUGUGUUGCAACAAAUCCCAAGAAAUUAGUGAGAGUAUUGGAUUCUCUUUUUCCGAAUCUAGAUAUGAUUCACUUCCUCAUGAGGAUGUUAAUGCAAAACACCUAAUUUGUUGAAGGAUCUGGGAAAUUUUGACCGGAAAAUUACAAGUGACACCAGGAAACUUGUCUAUCACACUUUAAUCAAAUUGCUCGAGGUAUUUUCUUGGGAACCAAUACUAUGCCAUGAUAAUGUAGAUGUGGGAUGGUCUAGACUAUCAGAUAUGGAUGUUAACGAGGGAAAGCUUCUUGGAUGUUCAUACAAUCAAAGUUGUGUUGGCAUAUGGGUUGUGGACCUCUCUUGCAUUGAACCAUAUGCAAUUGCUAGUCCUAGAUUAAAUGAUUAUUCAGGCCAAAGUCUACAUCAGAUGGUAAUCCAUCUAUGCCAGCUGAUAACAUAAAGUCUAGUAUGAGGAGGUUAUCAAUAUUACAGAGUUUUGAAACAAAUUCUAAAGAGACAAAAUCAUUAUCAGCAACAGUCAUUGCUCCAGCCAGGUGCCCCUCAAAUAAUUGGGGCAUGUGCUAGCACGAUAGCACCUCUGACAGCACCACCAUCUGUUUCUUCCUUUGUAAAAAGAAGUUUAUCAAAAUUUCAGUCUACAUCUGACCUUCAGACUAACAAAGCAGAUAUGGCACCUGCGAUUGUUCCAAGAACUAGCCCGAGGAUACACUUGCCCUCUGAUUUUACUAAAGACUUUGGGGUUGGUAAAACAAUGUCAUUUGAUAUCCAAUCAAAAUUUACUGAAUUUUGGAAGGUGUCAAACAUCAAAGAGAAUUUAGAUAAAACAGAUAUCCAUUCAGUUUGGGAGCAGUAGUAAUAUUGAACAAAAUGAAUUUCUGGGCCAGACUCCUAUUUCUUCUGGCAAUGCUGGAACUCAACAUGUGUCAGCUGAAGCAAAUAAUUUGGAUGGUGUUAAGAACUUGAUUAAAUAAAGGAUCAGGUCUAUCUAAUUCAUUCAAAGAGCCACAUUUGCACUUUGAUAAGGAAAAUUGGCACAAUUUCUGUUGUCGGCUUUUUGGCGUUUUAAAAAUAGUUGUUGGAACAUUGGUAGAACACAGUUUCUUAUUCCUUGGUGUUGGAGAGGUUUUACUCCUAAUCUCAAUUGGUUUAUUUGGUCUAUUGAAUGUGUUUAACACUUUAACUUUGAUUUUUUUUUCACUUGUGUAUUUUCUUGUGAACAUCUUAGUUUGCCAUUCUGGGAGUAUGAAUUCCUAUUUACUUAUGCUUCGUCCUUGUAUUUCAUAUUACAAAUCUUGUAAUGCAUAUAAUUAUAUGAGAAAUAGAUAUAGGAAGAUCAUGUCUAUUAGGAUUUUAUUUAUGAGGUGGGCUUCUGCUUUUUUAAAAAGAGGGUAGAAGAUAAUUUUUCCGAUUUUGUGGUUUGGAUAGAAAUCUACUGUUUGCCAUAAUUUCGCUAUGCUACUUAGUGUUAAGUGUACAUGUUACAUUUUAUGUGACUUUAAUUAUUGCACUAUGUAGGUACAUGUUUCAAGAGUAUUUUAACUAAUCUCAG